AAGCGCCUGCUCAGGGGCUGCUUCCCUAGGACCCGGACCCCUAGCCAACUUCCUCCUGCCGGUUUCCGGCUCCCCCACGGGUGCCAGCGAUUUCCUUUCAUUUUUGAAAUGACACUCCCUUGCGAGGGAUUUCCCCCCCCUCCCAUUGAUUUUAAGAGCUCUGCGGGAUUGCUGGAAGAAAAAGUGUAAGAGGAAAAUAAACAUUAAUCCGCGAUGGUUUCGCUCAAGAUAAGGUCGAUAUUGGGGGCACCGCGAAGGAUGCGCCUUACGCGGGAGAUCACUCCCUCUGUGAGAAGCCAGAGGUCGGCCAUGAGGACAUCAAAGUUGCUAUAUGAAGAGGGUCACAUGGUAAGAAAUAGAGUCUUCCUAUGAACAGCGAGCAAGAACAUGGGGCCUUCUGCCAACAGCCUGAUGAGCGAACUCUCAUGGAAGCAGCAUCCCAGCCCCUGUCCAGCCUUCAGAUGAAUGCAACCUCAGCUGAUAUAUCUUAACUGCAACUGCUGGGGAGAUAGAGUUCAAAAUAAAAUCUGACAACCAGUAAACCCUCUCCUCAAAACGUA